rnacentral:rRNA from 1 species
UACGUAGGGUGCAAGCGUUGUCCGGAAUUAUUGGGCGUAAAGAGCUCGUAGGCGGUCUGUUGCGUCGGCUGUGAAAACCCGGGGCUCAACUCCGGGCCUGCAGCCGAUACGGGCAGACUAGAGUUCGGCAGGGGAGACUGGAAUUCCUGGUGUAGCGGUGAAAUGCGCAGAUAUCAGGAGGAACACCGGUGGCGAAGGCGGGUCUCUGGGCCGAUACUGACGCUGAGGAGCGAAAGCCAGGGGAGCAAACGGG